rnacentral:rRNA from 1 species
UAUCUGCCGUGGGCGCUGGAGAACUGAGGGGGGCUGCUCCUAGUACGAGAGGACCGGAGUGGACGCAUCACUGGUGUUCGGGUUGUCAUGCCAAUGGCACUGCCCGGUAGCUAAAUGCGGAAGAGAUAAGUGCUGAAAGCAUCUAAGCACGAAACUUGCCCCGAGAUGAGUUCUCCCUGAGACUUUAGGUCUCCUGAAGGAACGUUGAAGACGACGACGUUGAUAGGCCGGGUGUGUAAGCGCAGCGAUGCGUUGAGCUAACCGGUACUAAUGAACCGUGAGGCUUAACCUUACAACGCCGAAG